CUGGCUCAGAACGAACGCUGGCGGCGCGCUUAAGCAUGCAAGUCGAAACGGCAAGAGGUAGCAAUACCUCCUAGAGUGGCGGACUGGUGAGUAACACGUGGGUGACAUACCCUUCAGAUGGGGAUAGCGUAUUAGAAAUAGUAGAUAAUACCGAAUACGAGCACAGGGGUUAGAGAUCUGUGAGGAAAGGAGCUAAGGCUCCGCUGAAGGAAUGGCCUGCGGCCCAUUAGCUAGUUGGUGAGGUAAGAGCCCACCAAGGCGAUGAUGGGUAUCCGGCCUUAGAGGGUGAACGGACACAUUGGGACUGAGAUACGGCCCAGACUCCUACGGGAGGCAGCAGCUAAGAAUAUUCCGCAAUGGACGAAAGUCUGACGGAGCGACGCCGCCGUGGAUGAAGAAGGCCGGAAGGUUGUAAAAUCCUUUUGAAACUGAAGAAUAAGCGUUGUAGGGAAUGACAGCGUGGUGACAGUAGGUUUUGAAUAAGCAACGGCUAAUUACGUGCCAGCCGCCGC
rnacentral:rRNA from 1 species